AAGUUCGUGUUUGAGAAACCACGUGACUCCUCGGGUGCAUUUAAAAGGCUUGUGGCUCUCACCUGAAAGAGUGCAAUCGAAUAGAAACCUUGGAAUGAAUGUUUGAUGCAAUACAGAAAAAUUUACCCAUUGAAAAUUACUACGAAGAGGAGAUUCUUAACUAUUUACGAUUUAAAGAAAUAAAAGAUUGCAUAUCCCAUCAAAACUGAUAAAAAUCUAGCACAGCCAAGAGGAAUGCUUCAGCUGC